CAUGGUUGAUAGGGUUAAUCGGGGUCGGUUAAAUGAGUAGGGAGAGGUGAAAUUCUAAAAUCCAACCAAAUUGAACAAGGGCGUUAUCAUUCAUCAAGGGUGAUUUCUGAAUCAAGAAGAAAAGUUAGGGCAUCGAAAAUGUUUAGAUAACGUCGUAGUUUCAAUAUAACUAUAUCAACCAAAUAAUUUGGGUCGCUUCUUUGACUCAUCUCACAUUUGAUUAGAAAUCGCAAAUGUGAUUCUAGGGGGAAUAUGAUCGCAAGGCUGAAACUUAAAGGAAUUGACGGAAGGGCACCCCCAGGAUUGGAACCACCGGUUAAAUUUACUCAACGCGGGAAAACUUACCAGGUCAAGACACAGUUAUGAUUCACAGAUUGGUGGUUCUUUCAUGAUUUUGUGGAUAGUGGUGCAUGGCCGUUUUUAGUUGGUGGAUUGAUUUGUCUGGUUAAUUCCGUUAACGAACGAGACCUUAACCUAUUAAAUAGAAACGGGAAAUUGAGUGCCGCAUAAUCUUAUGUUGGCGCUUUUACUUUCCUUGCAUUCUUCUUAAAGGGACCCAUUCAUUUUAAAGAAAAGGAAGAUUAAGGCAACAACAGGUCUGUGAUGCCCUUAGAUGUCCUGGGCCGCACGCGGGUUACAUUGGAUUCCACAAAGUGCAUUGGUCCUAGCGCGAAAGCGUGAGGGAACCACUAAUACAAAUACCUAAACUGGGAUAGUAAAUUGUAAUUAUUAUUCUUGAACGAGGAAUUCCUAGUAAACUUACUUCAUUAGAGUGAGUUGAUUACGUCCCUGCCCUUUGUACACACCGCCCGUCGCUCCUACCGAUUGAAUGGUCCGGUGAGGACUUAGGAUGGACGGGGUGGUCUGCUGUAAAGUAGUACAACCCAUCAUUUUUAACCAAAAUUUGUUCAAACCUUAUUGUUUAAAGGAAGGAGAAGGCGUAACAAG
rnacentral:rRNA from 2 species